GAUGAACGCUAGCUACAGGCUUAACACAUGCAAGUCGAGGGGAAACGGCAUUGAGUGCUUGCACUCUUUGGACGUCGACCGGCGCACGGGUGAGUAACGCGUAUCCAACCUUCCCAUUACUGUGGGAUAACCUGCCGAAAGGCAGACUAAUACCGCAUAGUCUUCGAUGACGGCAUCAGAUUUGAAGUAAAGAUUUAUCGGUAAUGGAUGGGGAUGCGUCUGAUUAGCUUGUUGGCGGGGUAACGGCCCACCAAGGCAACGAUCAGUAGGGGUUCUGAGAGGAAGGUCCCCCACAUUGGAACUGAGACACGGUCCAAACUCCUACGGGAGGCAGCAGUGAGGAAUAUUGGUCAAUGGACGGAAGUCUGAACCAGCCAAGUAGCGUGCAGGAUGACGGCCCUAUGGGUUGUAAACUGCUUUUGUAUGGGGAUAAAGUUAGGGACGUGUCCCUAUUUGCAGGUACCAUACGAAUAAGGACCGGCUAAUUCCGUGCCAGCAGCCGCGGUAAUACGGAAGGUCCAGGCGUUAUCCGGUUUUAUUGGGUUUAAAGGGAGCGUAGGCUGGAGAUUAAGUGUGUUGUGAAAUGUAGACGCUCAACGUCUGAAUUGCAGCGCAUACUGGUUUCCUUGAGUACGCACAACGUUGGCGGAAUUCGUCGUGUAGCGGUGAAAUGCUUAGAUAUGACGAAGAACUCCGAUUGCGAAGGCAGCUGACGGGAGCGCAACUGACGCUUAAGCUCGAAGGUGCGGGUAUCAAACAGG
rnacentral:rRNA from 1 species